rnacentral:rRNA from 1 species
GACGAACCGUACGAACGUUAUUCGGAAUCACUGGGCUUAAAGGGUGCGUAGGCUGCGCAGUAAGUUGGGUGUGAAAUCCCUCGGCUUAACCGAGGAAUUGCGCCCAAAACUACUGUGCUCGAGGGAGGUAGAGGUGAGCGGAACUUAGGGUGGAGCGGUGAAAUGCGUUGAUAUCCUAAGGAACACCGGUGGCGAAAGCGGCUCACUGGACCUCUUCUGACGCUGAGGCACGAAAGCUAGGGUAGCAAACGGG